AAGCUAGAAUUUAUAAAUGUUUACUAUAAUCAAGCAGUAUCCUAAGUGCUUUAUGUAUAUAAACACUUAAUUUACACAAGGACCUUCUGAGAUUGUAUGAUUACCCACUGCUCAAGAUGACAAAAGAGGUAUGAAGAUUAUGUAAUUUGCCCAGGGUCACACAAAUUAUAAGUGGAGAAGGCACACCUCACCCUGUCUCCCAUGCUCCUAAAUGCAUGGAGUAGCUAUCUGAGAUCUCAGAGAAGUAAAUAGUAGCAGGGAGAAAAAACAAAAUUCAAAGCUCCACUAAAAAAUGGUGAGUUCACCAUUUUUCCUCCUCCAGUAUCAUCCAAAAUGGACUCAAAGGCAGCCAAAACCAGAAAUGAACAUCAGAUGUGAACUGAAAGAACUCUUCUUGGAACCCUCUAUUACAGGUGUGAGGAGCAGAAAGGGACUCCUAAGAGCCCCAAGCACACCAUGGUGGUGAUAGCUGCAACAGUGACAGCAAGAGUGGCUGAGCAGGCACUGAAAUUCUGAGAGGAGAACCCCUAUCUCUGACCAGAAGAGUUGUGGUCCCACAAGUCAUCAUGUAUCCAAAUGUCCUCCGCCUCAGACCCCAUAGACAUAUGGCUGACAUCCUGGAUGGAGAACACUGACAUCUUGGGGAUAAUUGUCCAGAACCUAUAAGUUCUCCAGUUGGCAGGUGACAGGCUAGAUUAAGAGGAUGGAAUGGAUGCUGGGGCAGCACCCCAUUCUCCAAAAGAUAAGGUCUUCAGGGAUGAGAAGAAUCAUAAAGGGCAGAGAAAGGGCAAGGAAUUCUGACCUCACCUCAGGGACAGUCUAGAGAACAAGGACCUGGGCCCAGAGCAGGAAGCACCACUGCUCCUCCUUGUCCCUGGAAAUCCACUUAAGGUAGAUAUUGAGGCUGGGAAGGCUCAGGGCUACCGCACUCCGCAGGGGGACUUUAGGCUCACCUUCUCUAGCAGCUCUGCCAGCCUUCUGCAUCCCAGCCCUUUAGUGAUCGUCCCUCCAGCCAUUCCAGCUCCGUGCCCCCCGCCGGUUCUCCCCAGGAUGGAGGCAGGUUGGGAGGCUCCUUACAGGAACCAGCUACACAAAGUCUACUUCGCUUGUCUUUCAGCAACUCCUCUGCCCAACUGUCCCUAUCGUCAUCUCUCCUCCUCUAGUGUGGCUUCACCUGGCUCCCACCUUUCCUAUCUGAAGCCCCCCAGUGAUGUCUAAGGGACAGAAAGGGAAAG